UUUUAUCACUGGAUGAAUAUUCAUUAAUUGAAAGACCUGGCAUCUUGAGAACCUUAAAUAGUAUCAACAGGAUUUCAUGAUAGCCUGUCCUCCUCCAUUUCCUCCAUCUACAUGAAUGUGAGGGCUGGUCCUGGGUGAGCUGGAGUAGCUUGUUCUUACAGGUAUCUGACGUUCAAGGAUGUGGCUGUGCUCUUUACUCGGGAUGAGUGGAAAAAGCUGGAUCCUUCCCAGAGAAACUUGUAUCGGGAGGUGAUGCUGGAGAACUAUAGUAACCUGGCCUCACUGGGAGGACUCCCAUUUAUCAAACCAAAGGUGAUCUCCCUGUUACAGGAGGGAGAAGAUCCCUAGAAGGUAGAGAAAGAAAAUUCUGGAAGCACCUCUCUUGCAUGGAAGAACUAUCAUAAGACCACAAAGUCAACUCAAACACAGGACUCUUCAUUUCAGAGAUUGAUAAUGAACAGAUCCAGAAGGAAUGGACUUGGACCCUUGGAUUUGAAAUCAGAAAAAUCUUGAUAUAUGAAGGCAAAUUAGAGAAAAAACAGGAUUAAAAAGGAAAUUUUUCAGAUAGUUUCAGUCACCCACAAAAAAACCCUAACUGUAGAAAGAAGCCAUAAAAAUGUUGAAUUUAGCCAGAACUUCAACCCAAAGUCAGUAGUUGUUAGGCAACAGAUAGUUCCCAGAGAGAAACCACCACCAAAAUGUGAAAAAAAGUCGAACACUUUGAAACAUAAUUCAAAUUUACCUAAUCAGCCAAAAAUGACAGCAGGUAAAUGCUAUCAAUGUAGUAUGUGUGAGAAAACCUUUAUUAAUACUUCUUCCCUUCAUAAACAUGAGAAAAAUCAUAGUGGAGAGAAAUUAUUUAAAUGUAAAGACUGUUCCAAAGCCUUUAGCCAAAGUUCAGCUCUUAUUCAACCUCAAAUAACUCAUACCGGAGAGAAACCUUACAUAUGUAAAUAAUGUGGGAAAGCCUUCACUCUCAGUACAUCCCUGUAUAAGCAUCUAAGAACCCACACUGUCAAGAAAUCUUAUAGAUGUAAGGAAUGUGGUAAGUCCUUCAGCUGAAGGUCAGGGCUUUUUAUACAUCAGAAAAUCCAUGCUGGAGAAAACCCUUAUAAAUAUAAUCCAGGUAGGAAAGCAUCUGGUUGCAACACAUCCCUUCCUGGUCAAAGAGUUCAUCCCAGAAAGAAGUCCUAUUUGUGUAAGGAAAUGUAGCAACACCUUUAAAUCUAGUUCAUCCCUUCAUUAUCAUCAGAUAAUUCACACUGGAGAGAAAACUUUCAAAUGUGGUGAAUGUGGGAGAGCCUUCAGUCAGAGUGCAUCACUUAUUCAACACGAAUGAAUUCACACUGGCGAAAAGCCCUAUCGAUGUAAUGAAUGUGGAAAAGGCUUCACUUCUAUUUCACGACUCAAUAGACAUCGAAUAAUUCAUAUUGGUGAGAAGUUUUAUAAUUGUAAUGAAUGUGGCAAGGCCUUAAUUUCCCAUUCAACUCUUAUCAUUCAUGAGAGGAUUCACACCGGAGAGAAACCAUGUAAAUGUAAAGUGUGUGGGAAACUCUUCAGGCAGAGUUCAGCUCUCAUUCAGCAUCAGAGAAUGCACACUGGAGAAAGACCCUACAAAUGCAAUGAGUGUGGGAAAACAUUCAGGUGUAACUCAUCCCUUAGUAAUCAUCAGAAAAUCCAUACUGGAGAGAAACCUUAUCAAUGUGGGGAAUGUGGGAUGUUAUUUGGCCAAAGUUCAGCCCUUAUUCAACAUCGAAGGAUUCAUACAGGAGAGAAACCCUUUAAAUGUAAUACUUGUGGGAAAACAUUUAGACAAAGCUCCUCACGUAUUGCACACCAGAGAAUUCAUACAGGGGAGAAACCCUAUGAGUGUGACACAUGUGGGAAAUGUUUCAACCAUAGGUCAUCCCUUACUAAUCACUAUAAAAUCCAUAUGGAAGAAGAACCCUAGAAAGUAGAUUUGCAUGUGUAAAAGCCUUAAACCAAAGCUCAUCAGAGAAUACAUACUUCAAGGGUGAUGUAAUAAAUGUAAUGGAUAUUGAAAAAGCCCAAAAUCAUUUAGUGCCCAUUAGCUAUCAAAUCCCAUGAACAAAUCUUGAUUAUGUAAUAGCUAAAAGGAAAGCAUUCAUACCUGUUGCUUUUUAAAAUAACUUGAGGAUUCAUAAGUGGAGACACUAACUUUGGGCAUUUGUAAAAUAAAAGGUGUUUGAUUUUCCUCUUUCCUACAGCAGUGUAGUCUAGCUAUCACAUGUGAUCAUCAUAAACAUCAAGUGGAUAGGGAUUUCUCUGGUUUUCUCAUAAAAACACCAAACUCUACACAUGAUAUUUUUUAUAACAUUUUAGUAGCAUAUGAGUGAAUGAAUCAAAGAAAUUAUACAUUUUUAAUGAAAAGGACCAAAAUAAAAGAUUAAAAUAAACUGUAAACUACCUCUCA